AGUGAACGCUGGCGGUAGGCCUAACACAUGCAAGUCGAACGGCAGCACAGUAAGAGCUUGCUCUUACGGGUGGCGAGUGGCGGACGGGUGAGGAAUACAUCGGAAUCUACUUUUUCGUGGGGGAUCACGUAGGGAAACUUACGCUAAUACCGCAUACGACCUACGGGUGAAAGCAGGGGAUCUUCGGACCUUGCGCGAUUGAAUGAGCCGAUGUCGGAUUAGCUAGUUGGCGGGGUAAAGGCCCACCAAGGCGACGAUCCGUAGCUGGUCUGAGAGGAUGAUCAGCGACACUGGAACUGAGACACGGACCAGACUCCUACGGGAGGCAGCAGUGGGGAAUAGUGGACAAUGGGCGCAAGCCUGAUCCAGCCAGACCGCGUGGGUGAAGAAGGCCUUCGGGUUGUAAAGCCCUUUUGUUGGGAAAGAAAAGCAGCAGGUUAAGACCCCGCUGUUCUGACGGUACCCAAAGAAUAAGCACCGGCUAACUUCGUG
rnacentral:rRNA from 1 species